rnacentral:tRNA from 1 species
GGUCGCGUGGUGUAGUUGGUUAUCACGUCAGUCUAACACACUGAAGGUCCCCAGUUCGAGCCUGGGCGCGAUCA